rnacentral:rRNA from 1 species
UGGGGAAUAUUGCGCAAUGGGGGAAACCCUGACGCAGCGACGCCGCGUGCGGGAUGAAGGCCUUCGGGUUGUAAACCGCUUUUGAUUGGGAGCAAGCUUUCGGGUGAGUGUACCUUUCGAAUAAGCGCCGGCUAACUACGUGCCAGCAGCCGCGGUAAUACGUAGGGCGCAAGCGUUAUCCGGAAUUAUUGGGCGUAAAGCGAGCGCAGGCGGUCAAUUAAGUCUGAUGUGAAAGCCCCCGGCUCAACCGGGGAGGGUCAUUGGAAACUGGUUGACUUGAGUCCAGAAGAGGAGAGUGGAAUUCCAUGUGUAGCGGUGAAAUGCGUAGAUAUAUGGAGGAACACCAGUGGCGAAGGCGACUCUCUGGUCUGUAACUGACGCUGAGGCUCGAAAGCGUGGGUAGCGAACAGG